rnacentral:rRNA from 1 species
CAGUCGCCGCGGGAAUACGAAGGGUGCAAGCGUUACUCGGAAUUACUGGGCGUAAAGCGUGCGUAGGUGGUGGUUUAAGUCCGUUGUGAAAGCCCUGGGCUCAACCUGGGAAUUGCAGUGGACACUGGGUCACUAGAGUGUGGUAGAGGAUAGUGGAAUUUCCGGUGUAGCGGUGAAAUGCGUAGAGAUCGGGAGGAACAUCAGUGGCGAAGGCGGCCAUCUGGGACAACACUGACGCUGAGGCACGAAAGCGUGGGGAGCAAACAGGAUUAGAUACCCCCGUAGUCCCUGUCUCUUAUAC